AGAGUUUAGUCAUGGCUCAGGAUGAACGCUAGCGGCGUGCUUAACGCAUGCAAGUCGAACGGGAUCCUUGAAUUCGUUCAGGGUGAGAGUGGCGAACGGGUGAGUAACACGUUGGUGACCUGCCUCAAAGAGGGGGACAACCACUGGAAACGGUGGCUAAUACCCCAGAUGUCAUCCUUGUUAGAGAGGGGUGACUAAAGCUCAGGCGCUUUGAGAGGGGCCAGCGUCCCAUCAGCUAGCUGGUAAGGUAACGGCUUACCAGGGCGAAGACGGGUAGGGGACGUGAGAGCGUGAACCCCCACACUGGUACUGACACACGGACCAGAUACCUACGGGUAGCAGCAGCGAGGAAUCUUGCGCAAUGGGCGAAAGCCUGACGCAGCAACGCCGCGUGGAGGAUGAAGGCCUUCGGGUUGUAAACUCCUUUUCUGGGGAAAUAGAAAGGAAGGUACCUCAGGAAUAAGCUCCGGCUAACUACGUGCCAGCAGCCGCGGUAAAACGUAGGGAGCGAGCGUUAUCCGGAAUUACUGGGCGUAAAGCGCACGCAGGCGGUCUGAUAAGUUGGAUGUGA
rnacentral:rRNA from 1 species